rnacentral:ncRNA from 2 species
UAUUUUAGCUAGGGGUGCCUUUUUAGGGAUUAUGUAUAAUAUAACUAAAAAAUAGGCUGAGAGGAUAAGUCCAACCCUUUGAACUUGAUGUAGUUAACACUACCGUAGGGAAGCAGUACAUUAUAUUA